rnacentral:rRNA from 1 species
GGAGUUAGCCGGUGCUUCUUCUGUGAGUGAUGUCCUUCCUGCCGGCUAUUAACCCGCAGGCCUUCUUCCUCACUGAAAGUGCUUUACAACCCGAAGGCCUUCUUCACACACGCGGCAUGGCUGGAUCAGGGUUGCCCCCAUUGUCCAAUAUUCCCCACUGCUGCCUCCCGUAGGAGUCUGGGCCGUGUCUCAGUCCCAGUGUGGCUGAUCAUCAUCUCAGACCAGCUACGGAUCGUCGCCUUGGUGAGCCGUUACCUCACCAACCAGCUAAUCCGACAUAGGCUCAUCCGAUAGCGCGAGGCCCGAAGGUCCCCCGCUUUCCCCCGUAGGGCGUAUGCGGUAUUAGCCUGGGUUUCCCCAGGUUAUCCCCCACUACCGGGCAGAUUCCUAUGCAUUACUCACCCGUCCGCCGCUCGCCACCAGGGAGCAAGCUCCCCGUGCUGCCGCUCGACUUGCAUGUGUUAGGCCUGCCGCCAGCGUUCAAUCUGAGCCAGAAUCGAACCCUGA